AUUGAACGCUGGCGGCAGGCUUAACACAUGCAAGUCGAGCGGUAGCACAAGAGAGCUUGCUCUCUGGGUGACGAGCGGCGGACGGGUGAGUAAUGUCUGGGAAACUGCCUGAUGGAGGGGGAUAACUACUGGAAACGGUAGCUAAUACCGCAUAACGUCGCAAGACCAAAGAGGGGGACCUUCGGGCCUCUUGCCAUCAGAUGUGCCCAGAUGGGAUUAGCUAGUAGGCGGGGUAAAGGCCCACCUAGGCGACGAUCUCUAGCUGGUCUGAGAGGAUGACCAGCCACACGGGAACUGAGACACGGUCCAGACUCCUACGGGAGGCAGCAGUGGGGAAUAUUGCACAAUGGGCGAAACCCUGAUGCAGCCAUGCCGCGUGUAUGAAGAAGGCCUUCGGGUUGUAAAGUACUUUCAGCGAGGAGGAAGGCAUUAAGGUUAAUAACCUUGGUGAUUGACGUUACUCGCAGAAGAAGCACCGGCUAACUCCGUGCCAGCAGCCGCCGUAACAC
rnacentral:rRNA from 1 species